CGGAGUACGAAGGAAAGGGACAGGCAGAAGCUUUUGGAGCAGACAAGGUUGGAGCGCAACCGCCGGUUGUGGAUACGGCAGCAGAACUUGGCCGCGUUGAAAAUCCAGCCUUUGGAUCACAGCCUCUGUGAAGAAACACUCACAGGUAGAAAGACGGAAACCAACUAUCGCACGAUCAGAGCAGCAACUGCAGCGGUUCACAGACCCGACAUGGAACCGCCAUUUAUCGCACGUUCUCGAUCCCCACAAAGCAUACAAAAGGGAAAAUUGGAUGAUUUCUUCAUCUGAAACUGGCAAUCCUGAAAAUCAAUGUGCAGACGAUGCGCUGAGGAAGAAUGCGCACUCAUUCUUUUAGACUAAAAACCCAGAAAUCCUAACUUUCAAGGACGAUCCGUCAAUUUCGGGUUUUGUGGAGUCGGAAAAUCGAAGACUAAGAAGCAGAGGAGGAGAUCGGUGAAGAAAAAUGGAGCGAAAGUAAAAGGAAAAAAUACCCAACUUCUGUAUGAUUUCUUCAUCAAACCUGCAAUCCGAAAAAUAAACGUGAGGAUUUACACAAAUCCUCGAGUAUUUCUUCAACUCUUUACUUCUCUGUCAUUAGGUACGUUCCAUCACUCACUCUCUCUCUCUCUCUCAAAUAUUACAAUGAGGAAGAACUCGCACACACUCUGUCAAAUUUUCUGUAUUUAGAAAAUAAACCCUCAAAUCGCUAACCUUGAAGAACCAUUUGGUAAGCAUUUUCCCCGCUACUCUAUGUCAGAUUUUUUGUAUUUUUCUUGGUUUUUGUGGGUCUAUUCAAGUUCUUGAGGGACCCGAAGUUUCUGCUAAAUGACUAUCUGGUUUCCAUGUUUGACGCCAUUUGGUUCCAACUGUUUUGUUUUCUUCCUCUUUCCUGUUUGGUCUGAAUUGUGUUUUCGGAUAGCUAAUAAUUAAUUUUUGGUUAAUUUUGAAGUUUUUUAUAUUUUGAGCCGAGCCCUGGUUUCAGAUGAUUUAUCGGAUUAAAGUUUUGUGUGACUGGUUUUACAGCGAUUCCUUGGUGGUUAAUUUCUUGGUUUCGGAUUAAAAGUUUUCUGCAAGUGGUUUCGAAUUAAAAGUUUUCUGAAGGAAACUGAGAUUGUAUGAUGCGGUUGAAGACGCCAACAUAAAUGCAACAGAAAGAAGAAGGACAAAUAAAGAAUAGAGGGUAAAUACAUUAGCUACCUUCGGUACUGUUAGUUGGUACUUUUCUCCUAUCUUUUUUUUUCUUUUUUUUUUC